CUGCACCCCUGACAUGCACAGCACACACACGGCACCCCUGACACGCACAUCACACACACACACUCACACACUGCACGUCUGACACUCACAGCACACACAAAAUGCUCACAGCUUCCUCACAUGCAUACACUGCACCCUCACACACAGCUUCCACACAUGCACGUAGCACCCUCACGCAAACACAGCACCCACUCACACACAGCACACACACACUGCACCCAUCAC